GAUGAAGAACGUAGCGAAAUGCGAAAAGUAAUGUGAAUUGCAGAAUUCAGUGAACCAUCGAAUCUUUGAACGCACAUUGCGCCCGCUGGAACUCCGGCGGGCACGCCUGUCCGAGCGUCAUUUCAACCCUCAGGCCCCCCUUCGCGGGCGGGCCUGGUGUUGGGGCCCGGCCGCUACCCUGCGGCCGUCCCCUAAAUCCAGUGGCGGCCUCGCCGUGAUCCCUUGCGUAGUAAUGCACCUCGCACCGGAGAGCGCCGUUGCCACGCCGUAAAACCCCCAAUGUUCAAUGGUUGACCUCGGAUCAGGUGGGAAUACCCGCUGAACUUAAGCAUAUCAAUAAGCGGAGGA
rnacentral:misc_RNA from 1 species